UACGAAGGGGGCUAGCGUUGCUCGGAAUCACUGGGCGUAAAGGGUGCGUAGGCGGGUCUUUAAGUCAGGGGUGAAAUCCUGGAGCUCAACUCCAGAACUGCCUUUGAUACUGAGGAUCUUGAGUUCGGGAGAGGUGAGUGGAACUGCGAGUGUAGAGGUGAAAUUCGUAGAUAUUCGCAAGAACACCAGUGGCGAAGGCGGCUCACUGGCCCGGUACUGACGCUGAGGUGCGAAAGCGUGGGGGAGCAAACAGG
rnacentral:rRNA from 1 species